AAUGAACGCUGGCGGCAGGCCUAAAACAUGCAAGUCGAACGCUUGUAGCAAUACAAGAGUGGCGCACGGGUGCGUAACAUGUGGGAAUAUGCCUUUUGGUACGGAACAACGUUUGGAAACGAACGCUAAUACCGUAAGGUCCCUUCGGGGUAAAGAUUUAUCGCCAAAAGAUUAGCCCGCACUGGAUUAGCUAGUUGGUGAGGUAAUGGCUCACCAAGGCGACGAUCCAUAGCUGGUCUGAGAGGACGAUCAGCCACACUGGGACUGAGACACGGCCCAGACUCCUACGGGAGGCAGCAGUUAGGAAUAUUGGACAAUGGGCGCAAGCCUGAUCCAGCCAUGCCGCGUGAACGAUGAAGGCCUUCGGGUUGUAAAGUUCUUUAGCCGAUGAUUAUAAUGACUGUAGUCGGAAAAUAAGCCCCGGCUAACUUCGUGCCAGCCGCCGCAGUAA
rnacentral:rRNA from 1 species